rnacentral:rRNA from 1 species
UACGUAGGGAGCAAGCGUUGUCCGGAAUCAUUGGGCGUAAAGCGCGCGUAGGUGGCUUCGUAAGUCCGUUGUGAAAGUCAAAGGCUCAACCUUUGAAAGCCGAUGGAUACUGUGAAGCUAGAGUACGGAAGAGGCGAGUGGAAUUCCUGGUGUAGCGGUGGAAUGCGCAGAUAUCAGGAAGAACACCAAUGGCGAAAGCAGCUCUCUGGGACGGUACUGACGCUGAGACGCGAAAGCGUGGGGAGCGAACAGG